rnacentral:rRNA from 1 species
UACAGAGGUCCCAAGCGUUGUUCGGAUUCACUGGGCGUAAAGGGUGCGUAGGCGGUCGGGUAAGUCUGAUGUGAAAUCUCACAGCUUAACUGUGAAACUGCAUUGGAUACUAUCCGGCUCGAGGAAUGGAGGGGAGACUGGAAUACUUGGUGUAGCAGCGAAAUGCGUAGAUAUCAAGUGGAACACCAGUGGCGAAGGCGAGUCCCUGGACAACACCUGACACUGAGGCACGAAAGCUAGGGGAGCAAACAGG